rnacentral:lncRNA from 1 species
GCUCUAAACCCACAGUGGUUCCCCCCACCCCCACCCCUGUUUUUUUUCUCUUCUUCCUGCAGGGAUGGAGUGGAGGAUAUUGACAGCCAGGGGGAUGGGAGCAGCCAACCAGACACCAUCUCCAUUGCUUCUAGGACGAGCUGCCUUUUCUGCUGCAGGCCUGCCCAAGAGUUGGGAACAAAGACCAGGAUUUGCAAUGGUGGCCCUCCCCUGCAGUAAUGGCAUUUAAAAGUCUGCUUGGAACACUCUAUGACCUUGGUAGAAAGCCUUAUUUCCGUCUUCAUGUGGCUGGUUCACUCCCAUCAUUCAGGUCUCAGCUUAAAUGUCACUUCUCAGAGAACUGUCACCAGCUACUCAUUCUGAAGAAGUCCUCAGGCCCUCUCUAGCCCAUUAGUCAGUGUUUUUUGUUUUGUUUUGUUUUGUGAUGGAGUCUCGCUCUUGUAGCUCAGGCUGGAGGGCAAUGGCGCAAUCUCAGCUUACUGCAGCCUCUGCCUCACAGUUUCAAGCGAUUCUCCUGCCUCAGCCUCCCAAGUAGCUGGGAUUACAGGCAUGCACCACCACAUCCAGCUAAUUUUUUAAUUUUUUUAAUUUUUAUUUUUUGAGAUGGAGUUUUGCUCUUAUUACCCAGGCUGGAGUGCAAUGGCAUAAUCUCGGCUCACCACAACCUCUGCCUCCCGGAUUCAAGCAAUUAAUCUACACUUCCAGCAUCAAUGUGCUAGGGUUCCCUUUUCUCUACAUUCUCACUAGCAUUUGUUAUCUCUUGACUUUUGAUAAUAGCCAUUCUAACAGGUAUGAGAUGAUAUCAUAGUGAAACCAUUUUGGUUUUUUUUUUUUUUCCACAAUGAAAGGCCUGUAUUUUAUACUAAUAUAAUGUGCCCUUUCUUCAGUCUGAAUUUGUAAAGUUUCACCAUAUUCUUUCAGCGGCUAUGGUUUUUGUUUUGUUUUGUUUUUGGUUUUGUUUUUGAGACAGAGGUCUCACUGUGUUGCACAGGCUGGAGUACAGUGGUGGAAUGAAUGAAUACACAGAAAAAAGUCAGUCAUGGAAUUAGGGGAGGUUUUUAUGGUUUUAUUAAUUUUUAUUUAACAAAUGCUUCUCUGGGUCUAGACAUUGUUCUAAACACUUUUCAAAUAUUAACUUCUUAAUCCUAGGAGGCCUAAGUGAUUUGGAUUCUUUUUAUUCUUAAGACAUUGGCCAGUUUGAUUUGUGGCUGAUUCAGAAACUGACUAGCCCCUAAGACGUCCAGCAGACAGAAACCAUUUGCCAGAUUUGGAGAUAGGACCUGGGCCUGAGGGGAGUCAUUUGGUCAUUAGUUCCCUACCUCUACUAAGGACUACAUUAAAACCAGCUAGACCUGUUUAGAUUUAGAAUAAAAGAAUGAAGAUUGUUUCAUUUUGAAAACAGGACUGUGCUGGGAGAUUGUAGCUGUUUUCAAGUCUCUUGAGCAGUGCCACACAUCAAAAGGACUAGAUCAUCCAGAGUUACUCCAGAUAACUAUGAUGAACAGAUGAAGAUUACAAUAGGCAGGGUUUCCGCUCAAAGAAAAAGUUUAAUCUAGGAGUCAGUCAGUGAUUAAAUGGGCCUUCAUGAAAACUAAUGAACGCCCAUACUGGAAGAUUUGAGAGACUGUAGCCAAAGUUAGGCUGGAUGAAGCUGAGAUUCUGUAACCAAAAGACAGUGGAUAUGUUUUGGUGGGGGAAAUGAGAUACCUGUUUUAUUUGGCACACAAUCCUGCUCUAAUCACUGAUGUGGCUAAGAAAUUCUUUGUGAUGUGUAACUGGACCCCCUCUUGUUGUGAUUUUA